UAACAAUAUUUAUAAUCAUACACCAAAUAUAAUAGAUAACUAUAUAAAAAAUGUAUUAGUUUUCACAUAAUCUUGUUUUAUUUAUUCUUCGAAACUUUAGCUCCCGUUUGAGCGUGGAAUAUUUGGAUAACUAUAACAAAUAUAUAUAUAUAUAUACUUAGAAUAACCACACACAAACAACCAUAUAUAUUUAUACAUAUUUUGAUACAAUUAUAUACUUACCUAUCAAGCAUAAACUUCAAUUUCGAGUGAUUUGUAUAAUCAUGACGUACUAAAUCAAAUAAUAAACUUUUUCUAAUGUGGUAAUAAUUACAAUCAAUACUCAAUGCGUCCUAAGAAAAAUUUCAAUAAGCAAAUCAAUUACAAAAAGAGAAAAUAAUAUAACCUAAAUUAAUUUCGAAAGAAAAUCUAACACAUAAUUAUAUGAUAAAACAAACAACUUAUCCAUAUGAUCUUUUUUGUCCAUCAAUACAUCAACUAUAUAAUCUUUGACUCGAGAUGGAUCAUUUUCAAACUUGGAUAUCUGACGGGGAGAUAUGAAGAAGAAUUUGUUGAUCAAUUGAUGCGGGCGCACCAAUUUUUCAUACAAGAACCUUGUACGAAAAUAUAGCAUCAUUGAUUCACUGAUAAAAAAACUAAUUCAUUCAUCUAAAGUUAUUUGGAAUACCAUAUAUAUAUGGAGAUAACAGAUACACCUAUUUCUUGACGUGAGUGAGUCGUUCGCCUUAACAGCAUUACCAUUAUCUUUGGAUUUUAUAGGAGUCUAAAAAUGGUUUAAAAAAAUAGAAAUUUCAAGACAAAAUAAAAAGCAAUAUAUUGAUAGUGAUUGAAAUAGUAAGAAGAAUAUAGACAGUAUAUAUAUAUAUAGAUAUAUGAAAAAUAUGGCUUUUAACAUACCUCAGCGUCUAGAGAAAUAAAGUUUAUUGGCCAUGCCACAUGUCAUCAUAUGGCCUCUCCACCAACCUUGCAUCUCCAACUUCAAGAAGUAUAGGCGGCAAUGGAGCAUCCAAAU
rnacentral:lncRNA from 1 species